rnacentral:rRNA from 1 species
UACAGAGGUCUCAAGCGUUGUUCGGAUUCAUUGGGCGUAAAGCGUCCGCAGGUGGCACUUCAAGUCUGUCGUCAAAGACUGGGGCUUAACCCUGGAAAGGCGGUGGAAACUGAAGCGCUAGAGUGCGGUAGGGGUAGAGGGAAUUCCCGGUGUAGCGGUGAAAUGCGUAGAGAUCGGGAAGAACAUCGGUGGCGAAAGCGCUCUACUGGACCGCAACUGACACUCAGGGACGAAAGCUAGGGGAGCGAAUGGG